rnacentral:rRNA from 1 species
GAUGAACGCUGGCGGCGUGCCUAACACAUGCAAGUCGAACGAAGCACCUUUUAAGAUUCUUCGGAUGAUUGAUUGGUGACUGAGUGGCGGACGGGUGAGUAACGCGUGGGUAACCUGCCCUGUACAGGGGGAUAACAGUUGGAAACGGCUGCUAAUACCGCAUAAGCGCACGAGAGGACAUCCUCUUGUGUGAAAAACUCCGGUGGUACAGGAUGGGCCCGCGUCUGAUUAGCUGGUUGGCAGGGUAACGGCCUACCAAGGCGACGAUCAGUAGCCGGUCUGAGAGGAUGAACGGCCACAUUGGAACUGAGACACGGUCCAAACUCCUACGGGAGGCAGCAGUGGGGAAUAUUGCACAAUGGGGGAAACCCUGAUGCAGCAACGCCGCGUGAGUGAAGAAGUAUUUCGGUAUGUAAAGCUCUAUCAGCAGGGAAGAUAAUGACGGCACCUGACUAAGAAGCUCCGGCUAAAUACGUGCCAGCCGCCGCAGUAA